rnacentral:rRNA from 1 species
AUGGCGACUCUUUCUCCCCCUGUGGUACACCCGCGGGUCUCCCUCCGGCGACAAGGGUGGCGGCGGCUGCAUGGCUUGCCAAGCUGCCAGUUCAGACACGCCGGGAGAGUGCAGUCCAGCUACAGGGGACUCGAAGCGCUGUACGAUGAUGGGUACGGGACGGUAAAGGGCCUGGACUACUACUAUCAGGCACUCGGGCAGCUGGUGGGGUAUGACAGCGGGCCGCCCUGCUGGUUAUGCCCUGUCGAUGCUGGCUCGACGGUCGAGGAUGCUCCACUCAUGCUGUAUUUGCCAGGAGUAGAUGGGAUGGGGAUGGGGCUCUGCAUGCACCACAAGGCUCUUGGAAGGAUAUUUGAACUUAGAUGCUUGCACAUUCCUUUUCACGACCGCACACCAUUCGAAGGUAUCAGAUACCUGUGUAUUAACUGA